UGCAGGACAUAAGAGCAGAGGAUGGCAUUGACAUCCCUCAGUGACGUCACUGUGCUAGCAGCUGUUCCUCUUUUGAGCCGUUUUAUAGCCGAGCAUCUCCACCAGAAGAGCGGAUAGGAAAAAGGAAAAGAGAGGAGGAUUUGACCUUGGUAUCUUGCUUCAUUUCCUUCUCUGACAAAAAUUUGGUGAAAAGGUUAAAAUAAGUGUUCGAAUUCUCUCUGACUUGUCAUAUUCUGUCUAUGCCCUGUGUGCCUGCCUCUGAUCCUGAGGAAGUGUAGAAAUGAGGGGAUGACACUGGCAGAAUAAUAAAAAUGGGCAAAGUUGUAGGGCACCCCUGCUCCAGGUCCCACACACCCCAGCUCCAGAGCCUCAGGAUCUUUCCCAGCCAUGUGCCAGACAAUAUUGUAAAAUGAUUUUUCGUAGCCACACCUUUUAUUACACACAUACUCGAUGAAUCUAAAUACUGUGCUAAGAGCUGUGUGGAUGUACACCUGUAAACCAAGUCACAGACCCUGCCCACAAGCAAUUUGCCGUCAGUUAGGGGAGCCAUCAGUAGCAUCUAGGGAUCCAUUAGAGGGAAAAGAGGGAGCUGAGGGAGAGGCUAGGAGCCCAAGCAAACCUGCACUUCUGCUCCUAGAGGGAACCUGAGAGUGAAACUCAUGGGUUUGGAAACUUCUGUGGAAUUAGCUGCUUGCAAGAAAUGAUUUUGUCUGGUUUUAGAAACUACGAUGGAACACUAAUAUAUUCCUGUAAUUGACUGGCAAGUUUUAACACUUACUGCAAUUUAUUUUUGUUGUAAGCCCAACCCAAGAAUUCUUCCUUUAAAAAAAAUUUCAGAUUGACAAAUGACUGCUUCUUUAGAAAUCCUCCUUACUAAAAUUACUCCUCAUUUCUUUUUCUUUCAUAUUCAAAGGGAACAAACGUUCAAACACACAAAUAAACACUGCUCUUUGCCAGAGUGGUGGACUCUGGCCUCCCCACCCCCAGCACUCCCAGUCUUGCCCUCCUGCAAACACUAGACUUAAUUUUCUCUGCGCUGAGGGCCCUCCUCGAGUCAGAGUGAGAGGAAACAGAAGGGAGAAGCUGCGAGAUGUGGCAACAAAGGGGACGGUGAUCAGGUUUAUCCCUGAUGUUGUCUGUGAAGGUGUUCCAUUCUCCAGAGAUCUCAUCAAAUGGUAUAAGUGAUGUGCAGAUAAGCCUGUGGUUCCCUUCACUCAUCAGAUCAGAGCCUCAGAAUUCUCAGAAACCAUUUUUUUCCUAACAUAAAACUCCUUUUCUCAUUUCUAUCCCUCUGUAAAUCUGAUUUGAAAAAAUUGUUUGAACAAACCCACAAUGUCAGAUUUGUUCCAGCUAUAUGAGCUCACAAUUCAUCUACUCUUGGUAGUUCAAGAUAAAAGAUUACCCAAAGAAAAGGAAGAAAUUGAGUAAAGCCACAACUGUAAUAGUGUCCCAGAUUGGGUAAAAGGCCAUUAAUAAAUAGCGUGAAUUGUAGAACUGUUUAAAGCAGCAUAUUUUUAAAACAGGCAUAUAAAGAAUCCACUUUAUGCCUGGAAUUGUACAAAAAUACUUUAAAUAAAUGUUUACAUAUAUAA